rnacentral:pre_miRNA from 1 species
CACAUACUCCCUCCGUCCGGAAAUUCUUGUCAUCAAAAUAAAUAAAAGGGGAUGUAUCUAGACGUAUUUUAGUUUUAGAUACAUCCCUUUUUAUCCAUUUUGAUGACAAGUAUUUUCGGACGGAGGGAGUAACAC